rnacentral:rRNA from 1 species
CCCUUAGACGUCCUGGGCCGCACGCGCGCUACACUGAUGCAUGCAACGAGUUUAUAACCUUGGCCUGAAAGGUCUGGGUAAUCUUUUGAACGUGCAUCGUGAUAGGGAUAGAUUAUUGCAAUUGUUAAUCUUGAACGAGGAAUUCCUAGUAAACGCGAGUCAUCAGCUCGCAUUGAUUACGUCCCUGCCCUUUGUACACACCGCCCGUCGCACCUACCGAUUGAAUGGUUCGGUGAAGAUCUCGGACUUCGAUAUUUAUUCUUUAUUGAGUUUAUAUUGUGGGAAGUUAUCUAAACCUCAUCAUUUAGAGGAAGGUGAAGUCGUAACA